UCUCCGUAGGUGAACCUGCGGAGGGAUCAUUACUGAGUGAGGGCCUUCGGGCUCGACCUCCAACCCCCUGUCUUCCGACUCUGUUGCCUCGGGGGCGACCCGGCCUUCGGGCGUCGGGGCCCCCGGUGGUCCACACCUCAACUCUUGCAUCUGUGCGUCUGAGUAACAUAUUGAAUCAAUCAAAACUUUCAACAACGGAUCUCUUGGUUCUGGCAUCGAUGAAGAACGCAGC
rnacentral:misc_RNA from 1 species